rnacentral:rRNA from 1 species
UGAGUUCUCAACUUCUACUCCUUUUGUUACUACCACUUCUUCUACUACUUCUGCUACUACUUCUACUACUACUUCUCGGGAAACAAGCAUCUUCUCAAUAACGUUUCGGGGGGACGUUUUUCGAGGUUUAGGGUAGUUCUACUUUAUGAUUAACCAUACCUACACGAAGAUAUACGUACCUGACCAGGACUUUGAGGACAACGAUUCCGUCGUUAAUAGAGUCAACAGGUCUGUAUUAACGCCCGAGCCUAGGGGAACCUGGUCGUGAAUACUCCAACAACGGUUACAACACUAGUCUUCCCUACGAUGCGAAGGAAUACUUAUACUACCAAAUGCUAAACAGUGACUACGUCAGUGUUCCAGGUAACGUACCGGUAGAUCGUUCGGGAUGUUCGGUCCCCGUAGAAGUAGUAGAGCGGCGAUUCGUGCGCGUUAAAGAGGUAAGAUUGAUCCGUACUUCUUCCGCGGGUGGGUACUCGAUAAUUAGUC